AACGGNAUCUUCGGAUCUAGUGGCGGACGGAUGAGUAACGCGUGGGAACGUGCCCUCUGGUUCGGAAUAGCCCUGGGAAACUGGGAGUAAUACCGGAUACGGUCGAGAGACGAAAGAUUUAUCGCCGGAGGAUCGGCCCGCGUUGGAUUAGGUAGUUGGUGGGGUAAUGGCCUACCAAGCCGACGAUCCAUAGCUGGUUUGAGAGGAUGAUCAGCCACACUGGGACUGAGACACGGCCCAGACUCCUACGGGAGGCAGCAGUGGGGAAUCUUAGACAAUGGGGGAAACCCUGAUCUAGCCAUGCCGCGUGAGCGAUGAAGGCCUUAGGGUUGUAAAGCUCUUUCAGUGGGGAAGAUAAUGACGGUACCCACAGAAGAAGCC
rnacentral:rRNA from 1 species